CCAAUAGCGUAUAUUAAAGUUGUUGCAGUUAAAAAGCUCGUAGUUGAAUUUCGGGAUCAAUAUGUCGGUCGUGCCUCGGUACGUACUGGCGUAAUUGGUUUCUCCCUUCUGAAGAGCCGCGAUGUCAUUAAUUUGGUGUCGUGGGGAAUCAGGACUGUUACUUUGAAAAAAUUAGAGUGUUUAAAGCAGGCUCGCGCUUGAAUACAUUAGCAUGGAAUAAUGAAAUAGGACGUUUGAUUCUAUUUUGUUGGUUUCUAGGAUCGACGUAAUGAUUAAUAGGGAUAGUUGGGGGCAUUAGUAUUCAAUUGUCAGAGGUGAAAUUCUUGGAUUUAUUGAAGACUAACUACUGCGAAAGCAUUUGCCAAGGAUGUUUUCAUUAAUCAAGAACGAAAGUUAGGGGAUCGAAGACGAUCAGAUACCGUCGUAGUCUUAACCAUAAACUAUGCCGACUAGGGAUCGGAUGAUGUUGAUUUUUUAAUGACUCAUUCGGCGCCUUACG
rnacentral:rRNA from 1 species